rnacentral:rRNA from 1 species
CUACGGAGGAUGCAAGCGUUAUCCGGAUUUAUUGGGUUUAAAGGGUGCGUAGGCGGAUGAUUAAGCGUGAGGUGAAAUGCCACUGCUCAACAGUGGAACUGCCUCGCGAACUGGUUGUCUUGAAUGCUCCUGCUGAGGGAGGCAUGUGUGGUGUAGCGGUGAAAUGCAUAGAGAUCACGCAGAACACCGGUUGCGAAGGCAUCUCACGAAGGGGUGAUUGACGCUGAGGCAAGAAAGCGUGGGGAUCAAACAGGAUUAGAUACCCUGGUAGUUCACGCAGUAAACGAUGAUAACUAACCGCUGGGUCGUAGUGAUUCAGUGGCCAAGCGAAAGCGAUAAGUUAUCCACCUGGGGAGUACGACCGCAAGGUUGAAACUCAAAGGAAUUGGCGGGG